rnacentral:rRNA from 1 species
UUAAGCAUAUAAGUAAGCGGGAGGAUAAGAAACUUAAAUAGGAUUCCCUUAGUAAUGGCGAAUGAACAGGGAUCAGCUCAGCAUGGAAAUUGGGGCCCUCGGCCUUGAAUUGUAGUCUCGAGAUGUAUUGCCAACGGAGGCGCAGAUGUAAGCCUCUUGGAAAGGAGCAUCAACGAGGGUGAGAGUCCCGUUUGUCAUCUGCAGUCCCCCGUGCACGGCAUACCUUCUAAGAGUCGCGUUCCUCGGAAUUGGAGCGUAAAUUGGGUGGUAAAUUUCAUCUCAAGCUAAAUAUUGGUUCGAGACCGAUAGCAAACAAGUACCAUGAGGGAAAGAUGAAAAGGACUUUGAAAAGAGAGUUAAAAGUGCCUGAAAUUGCUGAAAGGGAAGCGAAUGGAACCAGUGUUGCUUGGAUGUGAUUGGCGGGUGCAUGACGCGCUCGUUGUAUUUCCUUCCUUGUGUGUCAACGCCAGUUCGCGAUCGAGGAAAACUCCAGGGUCAUGGUAGCUUGUCUCAGGGUGAGCGAACAGCCUUGGCAGAACUCAUUUGCGGACUGUUUCUUUCGUGUCUGGUUGCAAUGUCUUUGGCAUCUUGGAGACCUCGCCAUGGCUUUGCCAUGGGCGAGCGACCCAGGUGACUUCGGCAUUUCCCUGACGCAAAGACGAUGACUAAAUGGUUCUAUUCGACCCGUCUUGA